rnacentral:rRNA from 1 species
CUCCAGACUCCUACGGGAGGCAGCAGUAGGGAAUCUUCGGCAAUGGACGAAAGUCUGACCGAGCAACGCCGCGUGAGUGAAGAAGGUUUUCGGAUCGUAAAACUCUGUUGUUAGAGAAGAACGUUGAUUAGAGUGGAAAAUUAAUCAAGUGACGGUAUCUAACCAGAAAGGGACGGCUAACUACGUGCCAGCAGCCGCGGUAAUACGUAGGUCCCGAGCGUUGUCCGGAUUUAUUGGGCGUAAAGCGAGCACAGGUGGUUUAAUAAGUCUGAUGUAAAAGGCAGUGGCUCAACCAUUGUGUGCAUUGGAAACUGUUAGACUUGAGUGCAGUAGAGGAGAGUGGAAUUCCAUGUGUAGCGGUGAAAUGCGUAGAUAUAUGGAGGAACACCGGUGGCGAAAGCGGCUCUCUGGACUGUCACUGACACUGAGGCUCGAAAGCGUGGGUAGCAAACAGGAUUAGAUACCCUCGUAU